rnacentral:rRNA from 1 species
UAGGGAAUCUUCGGCAAUGGACGAAAGUCUGACCGAGCAACGCCGCGUGAGUGAAGAAGGUUUUCGGAUCGUAAAACUCUGUUGUUAGAGAAGAACAAGGACGUUAGUAACUGAACGUCCCCUGACGGUAUCUAACCAGAAAGCCACGGCUACCUACGUGCCAGCAGCCGCGGUAAUACGUAGGUGGCAAGCGUUGUACGGAUUUAUUGGGUGUAAAGCGAGCGCAGGCGGUUUCUUAAGUCUGAUGUGAAAGCCCCCGGCUCAACCAGGGAGCGUCAUUGGAAACUGGGGGACUUGAGUGCAGGAGAGGAGAGUGGAAUUCCAUGUGUAGCGGUGAAAUGCGUAGAUAUAUGGAAGAACGCCAGUGGCGAAGGCGGCUCUCUGGACUGUAACUGACGCUGAGGCUCGAAAGCGUGGGGAGCAAACAGG